CCCAUCAGUAUUAAAGGUGUUGUCUCUUUAUCCCCUCAGUAUUAAAGGUGUUGUCUCUUUAUCCCCUCAGUAUUAAAGGUGUUGUCCCUCAGUAUUAAAGGUGUUGUCUCUUUAUCCCCUCAGUAUUAAAGGUGGUGUCUCUUUAUCCCCUCAGUAUUAAAGGUACGGUGCUUAUUUAUCCCCUCAGUAUUAAAGGUGGUGUCUCUUCAUCCCAUCAGUAUUAAAGGUACGGUGCUUAUUUAUCCCCUC